GUAGGAUUGUGACCUCUAGUGAACCGCAUUUUAAACUCUUGCACAAACAUUUGUUCCAUGCUCUCUCCUCUAACCCACCAAAGGCCAUUACCAUCCCUAAUCUUGUUGAUUUCAUUACACUUCUUCCUUAUCAUGGCACUCAGUUGGAAAAAUCUUGUAUUUUUAUCUCCAUGUUUUAGCCAAUUGGCUUUAGCUUUUUGAGCCCACAUUACCUCUUCCUCCUUAAGAACUUUAGUAAGUUGCUCAUUUAUAUGAGCCUCUAAUUGGAUUUUAUCAAGAAGAGUAUUUGUAACAUUUGAAUUGUCAUUAA
rnacentral:lncRNA from 1 species